rnacentral:misc_RNA from 1 species
GCCACCGGGAGCCGAUGGAGCGUUGCCUGCUGGGCAGCCAGGUGGUGCAGCUGCCGCAGGCGCUGUGCGAGCAGGAGGCCCUGCUGCGUGCCGUCCUCAGCAUCGACACCUGGAACAACGUCCUCUCGGAGGCACACAAGAUGCGGCUCAUGGAAUUUCUGCCCAACUUCGGCGAAAAUGACAAGGAGGAGAAAGUGGAGACCCUGCAGAGGCUGUUCAGCGGGUGCAACUUCAAGUUUGGCAAUCCCAUCCACUGCUUCUUCCUGCGGCUGAGGGAUGGCUUGCUGGUGCCCGAUAUUGCACGCACAGCAUCACUGGUCCGCAAGGCCAGCUACCGGGACUACCGGCUGAACCAACGCCGCUACCACUGUCGCCUGUUGCAGGACAUCUUAGUGUCACGCAAGCGGCUGCUGGACGCCUGCCUGGACUGGGGUCCCUGGGGUGGAGUGCCCCGUCCCAUAGGAGGGGGUGCGGCGGGGGGAUGUGGAGGCCCCCGCCAGGUGCCUCUGGCGCAACGCACCCGCUGGCGUUACUGCACUGAACUGCAGGAGCUGCGUGACCGCCUGGGGGAGCCACGCACCUCAGACGAGGAUGACCUUUGCUCUGAGGGUGGGGGGCCCCCCAAGCUGCUGCGCAAGUACCGCCGACAGGUGCACCACUUUGAGAGCGCCCUGAGCCCUGAGCUAAACCGUGUCCCCUCCACUUUGGCUGCUGGACCCCAGGGACCGCACCGGUGCGAUACCAGUUCGGGUCGUUUCCUAAGCAAGUGCCUCACUCUAUCAGAAAUCACCGAGGAACGAUUUCGAGACAUGCUGUUGGCUCACAGGCAGAAACGACUGGCUGGUUUGAACACGGCUGAACUGGAUACCUCCUCUGUGACCUUGGAGGAAGUGAUUAGCCGCACCAACCUGUCACGGAGGCCCCAGCUGCGACCUCAGGACGGCCGACUCAAGCGGCCACGGGUUGGGGGAGCCCCGCCCUCCUCCGUCGCGCCCGUGGUGGCCAGCAGCCCGCCCCCUGCCACGCCAGCCCCUCCAUCACCCCCUCCGGUUCCCAGCAGCACGGCUGCCGAGCUACUCCUGCCGGCUGCCGACUCGGAGGAGGAUGAAGAGGAAGAAGCAACUGCAGUGGAGCCCCCCAGUCCUGUGCUGCCCCCCAGGGGCCGCCCAGCCAGCCCCCCUGCUGUACAGCAGCCCUCGUGCUUCUUUGCCCUGCUGAGGGACCUCUUCAAUGAGACUGCCGAGCAGAAGAUGUCUGCCACCAAGCUCGAGGAGCGUGUCAAGACCUGGAGUCACUCCACGGGGGCCCAGCAGGUGGAGUGGUUUGGAAGGCGCGACAGCUGGCCUGACAUGGUCUCCUCUGCCCUGCGCUUCCUGGCGGGGGACUACAUAGGGCUGCUGCCGGAGGACUUUGUGCCAUACCUGGACUACAAGGAGAAGCAGCAACAGUGGCAGUGGAUAGGGGCAGGCCGAGACUCGGACACGCAAACGCAUGCCCUCUGUCAACACUGGCUCCAGGGUCGAGAGCCCAUGGAUGCCCUGGAGGCCUCUCAGGGCUCGCCACCACCGCCAAAGUCCACAACGGACUGGACUGUGCGCCCGACCACAGACCACGAGCGCUCGCACUACCGCACACAGGAGUGUGUGCGGUACCAGAACCCACAUCGGGCAUUCACGUUCCGGGUGCACGGCUAUGAGGCAGUGGUUGGACCGGUAAAGGGCGUCUACGGCAAGGAGAGUGGUGUGAACAAGGCUCGGGAGCACUCGCUACUGGUCUCCGACCGGCCACCGUUUGUCACCAUUCUCUCACUCGUGCGGGAUGCAGCUGCUCGACUGCCCAAUGGUGAAGGAACACGUGCUGACAUCUGUGAGCUGCUCAAGGACUCGCAGUACCUGGCGGAGGCCAGCGACCAGCAGAUCCACACAGUGGUGAGUGGAGCCCUGGACCGGCUGCACUACGAGAAGGAUCCCUGUGUCAAGUAUGAUGUCAACCGCAAGCUCUGGAUCUACCUGCACCGCUGCCGCACUGAGGAAGAAUUCGAAAAGAUCCACCAGGCACAGGCCGCUGCAGCUAAAGCCAAGAAGGCAAUUCAGAAGAACAAGCUGCCCCGUCUGUCUAAGGAAAGCCCCAAGGCAGCCGAGCCAGAGAACGACGAGCCCGACCAAGCGGCCACCCCCGUCGCCCCCUCCACCAGCGCCAGCGAGUGGAAGCCCCCGAGCUGCCAACCAGCCGGCCCCCACCACCGGCCCCGCCUGUCCCCACCCCACCAGAAGAGCCCUCGCCUCCUGAGCCCAAGCUGGUCACCAAGGGCUUCCAGACGAUAGUGAUCAAGCAGGAGCCCAAAAACAAGCCUGUGAUGGCACGCCUGGUCUCUGGCUCGCAGCAGGUGGUGUGCAACCUGGUGGGGGGCAGCCCCCGGCCGGCCCUGCGUAUCCAGGGGGCACCGUUCCUGCCCGCUCCCCGCCUCAUCACGGUCGCCCAGCAGGGACCCCCAG